UCUUAGGAAUGCUCCAGAACCUUGCUGCAGUAUAAAUACCAUACGAUCUCAAAGAAUAGUAGCCGGUGGAACCAGUUGACUUUAAGGAGUUGAACUUUCUCUUUCUGCAUGACAUCACCUAUGUAAAUUUUCCAGGUUGGCUGAGACACCGAUGAAACCAGUUCCCGUGGCAACUGGGAGAUAGUCUUACAUCAUCCUAGUGAUGGCUCGACCCUGGAAAUCAGCGGGAGAACCCACAGUACCACACAGAGAGAAAAAAAUGAGACUCAGAAAAAAAAGAAGGUAACCAAGAUGCUAAAAAAGAUGAAGAGUUGACCUAAAACAAAUAUCCAGUCUUCCCUCCCUGGAGAAAACAUUGAAUG
rnacentral:lncRNA from 1 species